GAUGAAGAACGUAGUGAAAUGCGAUACUUGGUGUGAAUUGCAGAAUCCCGUGAACCAUCGAGUCUUUGAACGCAAGUUGCGCCCGAAGCCAUUAGGCCGAGGGCACGCCUGCCUGGGCGUCACACGUCGUUGCCCCCCCAUCUACUCCUUCGGGAUUGCGGGGGGCGGAUGAUGGCCUCCCGUGCGCCACGCCGCGCGGUUGGCAUAAAUGCCAAGUCCUCGGCGACGCACGCCACGACAAUCGGUGGUUGCGAAACCUCGGUUGCCCGUCGUGUGCGGUCGUCGCGCAUCGAGGGCUCGAAAAAAUUGCCGGGUUCCGGCUCGGCUUUCAACGCGACCCCAGGUCAGGCGGGGUUACCCGCUGAAUUUAAGCAUAUCAAUAAGCGGAGGA
rnacentral:misc_RNA from 1 species